rnacentral:rRNA from 1 species
UGGAGGCUAUGUUGGCCGGGCGACGGUUGUCCCGGUUUAAGCGUGUAGGCUGGUUUUCCAGGCAAAUCCGGAAAAUCAAGGCUGAGGCGUGAUGACGAGGCACUACGGUGCUGAAGCAACAAAUGCCCUGCUUCCAGGAAAAGCCUCUAAGCAUCAGGUAACAUCAAAUCGUACCCCAAACCGACACAGGUGGUCAGGUAGAGAAUACCAAGGCGCUUGAGAGAACUCGGGUGAAGGAACUAGGCAAAAUGGUGCCGUAACUUCGGGAGAAGGCACGCUGAUAUGUAGGUGAGGUCCCUCGCGGAUGGAGCUGAAAUCAGUCGAAGAUACCAGCUGGCUGCAACUGUUUAUUAAAAACACAGCACUGUGCAAACACGAAAGUGGACGUAUACGGUGUGACGCCUGCCCGGUGCCGGAAGGUUAAUUGAUGGGGUUAGCGCAAGCGAAGCUCUUGAUCGAAGCCCCGGUAAACGGCGGCCGUAACGAUAACGGUCCUAAGGUAGCGAAAUUCCUUGUCGGGUAAGUUCCGACCUGCACGAAUGGCGUAAUGAUGGCCAGGCUGUCUCCACCCGAGACUCAGUGAAAUUGAACUCGCUGUGAAGAUGCAGUGUACCCGCGGCAAGACGGAAAGACCCCGUGAACCUUUACUAUAGCUUGACACUGAACAUUGAGCCUUGAUGUGUAGGAUAGGUGGGAGGCUUUGAAGUGUGGACGCCAGUCUGCAUGGAGCCGACCUUGAAAUACCACCCUUUAAUGUUUGAUGUUCUAACGUUGACCCGUAAUCCGGGUUGCGGACAGUGUCUGGUGGGUAGUUUGACUGGGGCGGUCUUCUCCUAAAGAGUAACGGAGGAGCACGAAGGUUGGCUAAUCCUGGUCGGACAUCAGGAGGUUAGUGCAAUGGCAUAAGCCAGCUUGACUGCGAGCGUGACGGCGCGAGCAGGUGCGAAAGCAGGUCAUAGUGAUCCGGUGGUUCUGAAUGGAAGGGCCAUCGCUCAACGGAUAAAAGGUACUCCGGGGAUAACAGGCUGAUACCGCCCAAGAGUUCAUAUCGACGGCGGUGUUUGGCACCUCGAUGUCGGCUCAUCACAUCCUGGGGCUGAAGUAGGUCCCAAGGGUAUGGCUGUUCGCCAUUUAAAGUGGUACGCGAGCUGGGUUUAGAACGUCGUGAGACAGUUCGGUCCCUAUCUGCCGUGGGCGCUGGAGAACUGAGGGGGGCUGCUCCUAGUACGAGAGGACCGGAGUGGACGCAUCACUGGUGUUCGGGUUGUCAUGCCAAUGGCACUGCCCGGUAGCUAAAUGUGGAAGAGAUAAGUGCUGAAAGCAUCUAAGCACGAAACUUGCCCCGAGAUGAGUUCUCCCUGACCCUUUAAGGGUCCUGAAGGAACGUUGAAGACGACGACGUUGAUAGGCCGGGUGUGUAAGCGCAGCGAUGCGUUGAGCUAACCGGUACUAAUGAACCGUGAGGCUUAACCUU